rnacentral:rRNA from 1 species
ACUGUUUAAUUAAAACAAAGCAUUGCGAUGGU